rnacentral:rRNA from 1 species
UAGGGAAUCUUCCACAAUGGACGAAAGUCUGAUGGAGCAACGCCGCGUGAGUGAAGAAGGGUUUUCGGCUCGUAAAACUCUGUUGUUAAAGAAGAACAUAUCUGAGAGUAACUGUUCAGGUAUUGACGGUAUUUAACCAGAAAGCCACGGCUAACUACGUGUCAG